GAUGAACGCUAGCGACAGGCCUAACACAUGCAAGUCGAGGGGCAGCACAAGGUAGCAAUACUGAGGUGGCGACCGGCGCACGGGUGAGUAACGCGUAUGCAACCUGCCUGUAACAGGGGAAUAGCCUCUUGAAAGAGAGAUUAAUGCCGCAUAAUACGAGAUUCGGGCAUCCGGAUUUAGUUAAACAUUUAUGGGUUACAGAUGGGCAUGCGUUUCAUUAGGUAGUUGGUGAGGUAACGGCUCACCAAGCCGACGAUGAAUAGGGGUUCUGAGAGGAAGGUCCCCCACACUGGUACUGAGACACGGACCAGACUCCUACGGGAGGCAGCAGUGAGGAAUAUUGGUCAAUGGACGCAAGUCUGAACCAGCCAAGUCGCGUGAAGGAUGAAGGUAUUAUGUAUUGUAAACUUCUUUUGUCAGGGAAUAAUGGGUGUCACGUGCGACGCAGAGGAAUGUACCUGACGAAUAAGCAUCGGCUAACUCCGUGCCAGCAGCCGCGGUAAUACGGAGGAUGCGAGCGUUAUCCGGAUUUAUUGGGUUUAAAGGGUGCGUAGGCGGNUUGUUAAGUCAGUGGUGAAAGUUUGCGGCUCAACCGUAAAAUUGCCAUUGAAACUGGCGAACUUGAGUACAGUAGAGGUAGGCGGAAUUCGUGGUGUAGCGGUGAAAUGCUUAGAUAUCACGAAGAACUCCGACUGCGAAGNC
rnacentral:rRNA from 1 species